rnacentral:rRNA from 1 species
UGGAGCGUGUGGUUUAAUUCGAUGCAACGCGAAGAACCUUACCUGGGCUCGAACGGCUCACGAAAGCGCCUGGAAACAGGUGUUUCCCGCAAGGGACGGGAGUCGAGGUGCUGCAUGGCUGUCGUCAGCUCGUGUCGUGAGAUGUUGGGUUAAGUCCCGCAACGAGCGCAACCCUUGCCCUGUGUUGCCACACCGAAAGGAAGCACUCUCAGGGGACCGCCAGCGAUAAGCUGGAGGAAGGUGGGGAUGACGUCAAGUCAGCAUGGCCUUUAUAUCUUGGGCA